CCGAGUUAGGGUCCUCUGGGCCCGACCUCCCAACCCUUUGUCGUUACCACCUCAGUUGCUUCGGCGGGCCCUGCCUCGAAAGAGGCACGCCGGAGGGGCGUAAAACCCCUUCUGGUCAGUUGCUCGUCGGUAGCCCCAACCACAAAAUUCUGAAGUAAACGUGUCUUCUGAGUAACAAACAAAAAUAAAGCAA
rnacentral:misc_RNA from 1 species